rnacentral:lncRNA from 1 species
AAGACGCGGUAGAACUGGUAGGCGAUCUUGUACUUGGAGCGGAGCCGGUUGCCGAGCGCCAGGCACUGCUCCUUGCGCGCCAGCUUGAGGAGGUUGGGCCCCUCACGCAUGAUGGCGGCGCCGCCCGUCGGCAUCUCGAACACCUGCUCCUUGGGCGACGUCCACGUGAUGACGUAGAAUUCCUCGACCUGGGCUUUGCGGAGGAGCCCGCCCGUGCUGCCGCCGAAGAUUGGGGAUGGGGUUGAGGGGUCGAGCUGGGGCGGGACGAAGCCGGCGGGGGCUGGGGUGGCGACGGGAGCCGCCGGGGUUUCUGGGGCGGCGGCGUGGAGGGCGGUUGGGGCGCGGGAGGUGGGGGAAGGGAAGGCGAGGGAGCGGGGUUUGGGGGAGGAGGAAGGGGACCGGGUGGCGGCGAGGAG